rnacentral:rRNA from 1 species
AGUGAACGCUGGCGGUAGGCCUAACACAUGCAAGUCGAACGGCAGCACAGUAAGAGCUUGCUCUUACGGGUGGCGAGUGGCGGACGGGUGAGGAAUACAUCGGAAUCUACUUUUUCGUGGGGGAUAACGUAGGGAAACUUACGCUAAUACCGCAUACGACCUACGGGUGAAUGCAGGGGAUCUUCGGACCUUGCGCGAUUGAAUGAGCCGAUGUCGGAUUAGCUAGUUGGCGGGGUAAAGGCCCACCAAGGCGACGAUCCGUAGCUGGUCUGAGAGGAUGAUCAGCCACACUGGAACUGAGACACGGUCCAGACUCCUACGGGAGGCAGCAGUGGGGGAUAUUGGACAAUGGGCGCAAGCCUGAUCCAGCCAUACCGCGUGGGUGAAGAAGGCCUUCGGGUUGUAAAGCCCUUUUGUUGGGAAAGAAAAGCAGCAGGUUAAUACCCCGCUGUUCUGACGGUACCCAAAGAAUAAGCACCGGCUAACUUCGUG